AACUCACCCAGCGCAUCCGACUGCACGUAAGUGCGCACCAGAACCCCCGCGUCGUCUUAGGGCCACCGCCUUAGUAUAGGCACAAGUCGGAGGGUCGAAAGGUCCCUUCUAGCUCAGGAAAAUCGAGGUCAGGAGGCGGGGAUAUUCGCCCCGAUUCAGACCCCGAACAAAGGUGCUUACCCUGCUGUGGGCUGGGCCCGCGACUUCUCGCUUGCUUUGCCUCUUUUCUGGAUCUUUUCAUAGAAGAAAAGGAUAAAUGAGCAGUUAAAAUAGCCACCCAAAGGAGGACGCCUGACAGUGUGCCCAGCCUGCUGGGAAAGGACAGACCGCCCUCUAUUGGGCCUCCUUUGGCCGGGCCCAGCCUUCGUAGGAUGCAGGGACUUCCGGGUGAUGUAAUAGGCUUCGCGUUCGCCACGUGUGGACUUCCCGUACCCUGAGGUGGGGAGGCUGCUAGUGGAGCAGGCUUGCCGGGAAGCCCAGUACUCCCAUUUCAAGCAUGAUCAGUUUGAAACGUCAGUAAGACCACAAAGCGUAGUGCCAUAUACUCAACCUAUGAUUCAACAUUGGCAGAGGGUUCGAGCGUGGAUAUAUAAAUUUGGGAGUUAUUACUGUAAACUGUUACUUCAAGUCAUGAUAUUGGGUGAGGCUAUGAAAAGAAUGAGCGUAGAUGGAUAAGUGACGGGAAAGAGGGGAACCCUGGCCCAACCCAGCAUUAACUGGUUGCAGACAGGAGAGUUUAUAAAGUCUUGUUAGGAAUUUUAACAAUCCUAGACUAUGCAAAGAUUAUAUUAUGCGAAGUCUUAGGAGUCCCCAUCAGUAACUUUUUUUUUUUCUUUUCAUGACUAUGAAAGUGAGAGAAUAAAGUCCAGCUUUCAAUGGUUUGACGAUAUAUAUGGUUAAGGAAAUAGAAAGGUGUGCAGAAAGUACUCUCCAAGAGAUUUAAUUUUGAGAUUGAAAAUAGUCAAGGAAUGGAGAUGGAGUCAAUUUCCUACACGAUGCGGUACUUUUGGAGAAAUAUUUUUGGCUAAAUUAGUGUGCAAGGAACACUGUUAUUCAUCACUGGCAAUAGUAAUUUUUGAAAAUUGAUAAAGACAUCAUUCUCUUUUUCACAUAUUUGUGACUCUUAAAUUUUUUUUUUUUUUUUUUUUUUUUGAGAUGGAGUUUCACUCUUGUUGCCCAGGCUGGAGAGCAGUGGCACAGUCUCCACUCACUGCAACCUCCGCCUCCCGGGUUCAAGCGAUUCUCCUGCCUCAGCCUCCUGAGUAGCUGGGAUUACAGGUGUGCGCCACCACGCCUGGCUAAUUUUAUAUUUUUAGUAGAGACAGGGUUCUUCCAUGUUGUUCAGGCUGGUCUCAAACUCCCGACCUCAGGUGAUCCACCCACCUCGGCCUCCCAAAGUGCUAGGAUUACAGACGUGAGCCACCCCCUCUGGCCAGACUCUUAUAAUUAAAUUUAAAUGGUUUUUUCAGAGGCAUAUGAACCAGAGCAACUCUAUCUUAAAUAGGAGCUGGGUAAAAUGAAGCUAAAACCUACUAGGCUGCAUUCCCAGACAGUUAAGGCAUUCUGAGUCACAGGAUGAGAUAGGAGGUCAGCACAAAAUACGGAUCAUAAAGACCUUGCUGAUAAAACAGGUUGCAGUAAAGGAGCUGGCCAAAACCACCAAAACCAAAAUGGUGACAAGAGUGACCUCUGGUCUUCCUCACUGCUACACUCCCAUCAGUGCCACGACAGUUUACAAAUGCCAUGGCAAUGUCAGGGAGUUACCCUAUGUGGUCUGAAAAGGGGAGGCAUGAACAAUCCACCCCUUGUUUAGCAAGUCACUAAGAAAUAACCAUAAACAUGGGCACCCAGCAACCCUUGGGGCUGCUCUGUCUAUGGAGUAGCCAUUCUUUAUUCCUUUACUUUCUUAAUAAACUUGCUUUCACUUGCACUGUGGACUCGCCCUGAAUUAUUUCUUGUGCGAGAUCCAAGAACCCUCUCUUGGGAUAUGGAUUGGGACCCCUUUCCUGUAACACAUUCCUGGCCACUACAGAAGAGACUAUACUGCAGGAACCCGUGACCCAAAGGCUAACUUUGGGUAAGUGGUGGGGUCGGGUAACACUUUUCUCGCAAACCACAAAAGGGACAAUGCUGAGGAGACCCCCCUGACUCAAAGGAAAUAGACUGCAGCACUGAUUGGAUGACUUUGGGUAAGUGGUGGGGUACCCAGGUAAAGAAUGGGAUUGGGAUAGACGCUCAAGUUAGGGGAGUUAGAGUCUCUCCUAAGGCAGAGUGGAUUAGAGGCCCCUCUUAAUAAAAGGCAAGGACGCUUGACUGACCUUGGGUUAGAGGCCCAACUUAGGAGGAUUAGAGUCCCUUCUAAGAUUUAGGGGGUUAGAGACCCCUCUCAGUAAAGUCCCUCUUGGCUAAGAAGAGGUUUGGCACCGUGGGAUGUUAACUGCUAUUGUCUUUGGAUUAAUCUGCCUUGCACUCUUUGCUGAUGGCUCCGGGCGACAGGGUUAGGCGUGUACAGGAUCGUGGGACAUGGGGAGCUUUUUCCUCCCCCAAAAGGGGAAACUUGAGAGCUGACGGGACUGCUGGAAAAAAAUCCCUUCACGACAGCAGCCGUAGCCGCCUGAACUUUUCAGUGUCACUGCAAUGGGUGGGUCUUUCUCUGGCCUCCCUGAUCAUUUUGCCUUCCCUGGGAAAGUAUUGCUUGUGGAAAAUAUUUCCUGGGAAAGUAUUGCCUGCGAAAGCAUUUCCAUAUAUAAUUUUUUUUUUUUUUUUGAGACGGAGUCUCGCUCUGUCGCCCAGGCUGGAGUGCAGUGGCGCUAUCUCUGCUCACUGCAAGCUCCACCUCCCGGGUUCAGGCCAUUCUCCUGCCUCAGCCUCCCGAGUAGCUGGGACUACAGGCGCUUGCAACCAUGCCCGGCUAAUUUUUUGUAUUUUUAGUAGAGACGGGGUUUCACCAUCUUAGCCAGGAUGGUCUCGAUCUCCUGACCUUGUGAUCUGCCCGCCUCGGCCUCCUGAAGUGCUGGGAUUACAGGCGUGAGCCACUGCGCCCGGCCCCUUUCUUAUCUUUUCUAUUACUCUAUUACUCAGGGCGACCAUCUUGCCCAGAGACCACAUGUUGAAACUCCAAGUCAGAGGUUGGAUUAAAGAUGACAGGGCCUAUCUGGGGGCAAAUUUAAGCCUUGCCAGUUUAAUAUUGGGUGCUAAGCAGAGUGGCUAAUGUGUAUGUUUCAUCACAUGUGUUUUGCUCUGGUCAGAAUGAAAAAAAGUAGUUUUCCUUUACAAUGAGGCUUGGCCCCCAGGGCGAUGGUGCCACAAGCCAGAUCACUGGGACCACUCAGAGAAAGGGAACACAGAAGCCUGGCAUGCCAGCAAAAAGGUAAGAAUUUGUUACCAGUCAGAUUUCUGACUUCUCCCUCUCUGUGCAAACGGUUGAAUGAAUGGUAAAAAUAAUAACAAUAAUAAAAAUAAUAAAUCAGUGUGUAUCUCCUCUGUAAAGUUUUGAUUAAUAUGAAAAAGAAUUCUAAGCUAGUCAAACUGGUGUAUUUUGUGCUGUGAAUUUGUUUUUCUGUAGGAUGAAACAUGGGCUUAGAACACCUGUGAGCCCACUUUUCAACAUGACCCAGCAAACUGGUCAGUAACAAACAGCUGCAGGUCCCUGAAACAAACAAACAGGAUGAAGUCUCCCCUUGUUUUAUGUCCUUGGGAGCCUGACCUUUUAACCAUGUGGCAGUACCUUCUCUUGGUCUCCACCUACUAGGGAAAAGGAAUUUUAGGGUUCAUGUCAUAGUCAGCUCUAAAAAUCAUAUAAAAUAGUUAAAAGCCUUUGCAAGCUCAAAAUUAACUACUCUAGGCUUCUGUGAAAGGAAGUAGGCACCGUCCCACACUGUAGCUCAGUAACUAAGGUUUCUGCACUUUCACAGUGGCAGUUUGGGUUUGAUACCCCACCUAGGAAGUAAGUCAUUUCUGGUUUAAUAUCUGCGUGACCUUGUCUAGUCUCUUCUCCUCCGCAGACUGUCUUAAAUUUUCCUUUCUCUAUGCACGUAGGAGAUAACCUUUGGUAAAGUUCAGAAGUUAGAAAUAUUGGCUUCUUGGCAUGGCUAAAGUUGGGUAAUAAGAGAUUUGAAAGGAUUUCUUUUUUAAAGAGCACUAUGGUUAAAAGUUAGCUUAAUUAAAAGUGGAUAGGCCAGGUGUGGUGGCUCACGCCUGUAAUCCCAACACUCUGGAAGGCCAAGGAGGGCAGAUCACCUGAGGUCAGGAAUUCGAGACCAGCCUGGCCAACAUGGUGAAACCCCGUCUCUACUAAAAAUACAAAAAAAUUAGCUGGGCGUGGUGGCGGGUGCCUAUAGCCCCAGCUACUCGGGAGGCUGAGGCAGGAGAAUGGCGUGAACCCGGGAGACGGAGCUUGCAGUGAGCUGAGAACGCGCCACUGCACUCCAGCCUGGGCAACAGAGCGAGACUCCAUCUCAAAAAAAAAAAAAAAAAAAUGCCUAUGUGGAAAAUAAUUAUUCUUGCUGCACUUUAUAUAAAUAAUCAGGCCAAGUAUAAUAAAGCAAAUCAAAUCAGUCUUACCCUAAUUUGUCUUUAGUAAAAAUGGGAAACUGGAGAGAGAAAUAUUAUAUUUCAAGAACUAUGGUAUACUUGUUAUUAAAUUCUAGUCUCAUUAGUUCUUUUUAAGUUUGUUUCUGCAAUUUAAGCUACCCUGCUUAUUCCUGUGAACCAACAUCUCUGACUGCUGCUCAGAAAAAAUAAGAGGGAUGGGUAAUGUAAAAAUCUGGAUCAAUAUUCCAAUUCUGGGCACAUUAUAAUCAGCUAACAACCCCAUGCCAGCUUAGUUCCAACAGUUGCUCAGUUCAUGAAAAGCCUUCUAAUUUAGUUUACUUAGAAUAACUUUACUUAUUUUGCUUUACUCUUGUGGAAUAUAUUGCUGUUAUACUCUUUGUGUAGGAAUACAGAACAAGCUUACUGAAUGUUUCCUUUUUUUUUUUUUUUUUUUUUGAUGGAGUCUCACUCUGUUGCUCAGGCUGGAGUGCAGUGGCGCGAUCUCGGCUCACUCUGCCUCCCGGGUUCAAGUGAUUCUCCUGCCUCAGCCUCCUGAGUAGCUGGGACUACAGGCGUGAGCCACCACGCCCCACUAAUGUUUUGUAUUUUUAGUAGAAACGGGGUUUCAUCAUGUUAACCAGGAUGGUCUUGAUCUCCUGACCUUGUGAUCCGCCCACCUCAGCCUCCCAAAGUGCUGGGAUUAUAGGUGUGAGCCACCGCACCCAGCCAGAAACUCCUGUUUUUAAAACUAUCAGAUCUGGUGAGACUCCUUCACUAUCAUAACAGCGCAGGAAAGACCCUGCCCCAUAAUUCAGUCACCCCCCACCGAUCCCUCCCAUGACAAAUGAGAGUUGUGAGAGUUACAAUUCAAGAUGAGAUUUGGGUGGGGACACAGCCAAACCAUAUCAUAUGGGGUCUCACUAUGUUUCCCAGGCUGUCUGUGAACUCCUAGGCUCAAGUGAUCCUUCGGCCUCAGCCUCCCAGGUAGCUGGGACUACAGGUGCACACCACCAUGCCCAGCUUGGAAAUCAAAUUUCAACAUGAGUUUUGGUGGAGACGAACUAUUUCCAAAUCUUAGUAUCUCCCUUACCUUAUUUGUAUAAGACGGGAUUCACAAAACACACAUAGAAGCACUUACAUUUGAUUUUUAAUAUAUGUAUUGCUAAGGUGAGCACUUACUUGAUUUUUCAGAAAUUAAAACCAGUAAUUAAUAAGGCUCACCCAUAAAUAAACAAGGAGAAGAAACCAAUCUUAAAGAAGAAUUGCAAAUAGUAUACAUAGAUACCAACAGCCCCCUUCAGACAGUGGAGCUUUGUGGUCUUCCCCUUGAGUUGGCUGGAUUUAGUGACUAAUUGUGGAAAAUGAAAACAGUAACUUGACAGGGGAAACCUGGCAGACAAGUACCUAACCAAGUGAUCAAGGUUAGCAUCACUUAAGUCAUCUUUUUUUUUUUUUUUUUUGAGAUGGAGUCUUGCUCUGUCUCCCAGGCUGGAGUGCAGUGGCGCAAUCUCAGCUCACUGCAACCUCCGCCUCCCAGGUUCAAGCCAUUCUCCUGCCUGAGCCUCUUGAGCAGCUGGGACUACAGUUGCACGCCACCACGCCCGGCUAAUUUUUGUAUUUUUAGUAGAGACGGGGUUUCACCAUGUUGGCCAGGAUGGUCUGGAUCUCUUGACCUUGUGAUCCACCCGCCUCGGCCUCCCAAAGUCCUGGGAUUACAGGGCGUAAGCCACCGUGCCUGGUCCAUUUUAGUCAUCUUGACAUCACGUAACACCUACUAUGAUGAUACAAGGAGGACACUUUGCCAAUCUGAUGUUCUUCCCCUUAACCCACAAUUCUAGACUAAUAAUGAAAAAAUACCAGACAAAUGCAAAUUAAGGGACAUUGCAUUAUGAGUACUCCAGAAGUAUGUAGAUCAUGAAAAACAAGAAAAGACAGAGCAGCUGUCACAGAUGGGAGAAAACUAAAGCGAUGAGAUGAUUAACUGAAAUGUGGUGUCCUGGACUGGAUCCUGCAACUGGAGGACAUUAGUGGAAAAAAACUGGUGAAAUCCAAAUACAGUGUGUAGUUCAGUUAGUAGUAGUAGUAGUAUACCAUGUUAAUUUCUUAGCUUUGACAAAUAUGUCAUAGGCUUAUGAAGUAUUAACAUGAGGUGGAGCUGCAUGAAGUUAUAUAGGAACUCUGUAAUAUCUUUGCUUCUUUACAGCUAAAAUUGUCAGAAAAUAAAAAGUUUAAAACAAAAAAAGCAAGGAGAGACUUCUGGCGUGACAGCAUAAGGAGCUCUGUGGGCCUAUUCCCCAACAAAACUGUUGAAAAUUAUUAAAAACAAAAAUGAAAACAAAAAAAGUCGUGUCUCUGGAGAUAGUCCUAAGGAUAUACAUCAAAUGAAAAAAUAUUUAUUCAAGAGAAUCUGUCCUUCUGUAAGAACUGCGAGAGUCUGUGGUAUUUGAACCAAGACUAUCUCUUUCCUUCAGCCCUCCCAGUUCAAUGAUAUGGAAACUGUACUCUACAGUGUUGCAGACAAGAACACAGGGCUCUCCCUCUCAGCUUCCAUACAGAGGGCUGUCUUCCCAGCAGGGUAGGAUGUCAGCAUUUCUUAUCUUGCCACCAGAAACUUGCUGAGGCUAAAUCCCUAGUGAGUGCAGCCCCAGAGGCAGGAGCUCCCUUCCUCCACCCAUCCAGUGUUGGUGAGAUGAAGGCCCUUCCUUGGGCAUCAUGAUGCUGAGCACUGGGGAUUCAUCACACUUGCCCCACUGAAAGUCUGUAGUAGUGUACCAUGACAGGGCAGCUGAAAAGACAUGAGACCACUGGCCACCCGCUACCACUGAGCACUCAACCCUCAAAGCAGGAUGUCAGAAGUGGGCCAUUGUUCCCACUCCCAGCUUUAGAACCCAGAUCCAGAGAUACUGCCUGAGGGGACAAGCAGAGAGCCUGGAAAGAAACAUGUGGAGGUACGCCAACCUGAGGUAGAACAAAUAUCAAACAGUUUGGGAACCCAAACAGCCUGAUUUUUUUUUUUUUUUUUUUUGAGACGGAGUUUUGCUCUGUCACCCAGGCUGGAGUGCAAUGGCGUGAUCUCGGCUCACUGCAACCUCUGCCUCCUAGGUUCAAGCUAUUCUCCUGCCUCAUCCCAAGUAGCUGGGAUUACAUUUUUGUAGUUUUUAGUAGAGACAGGGUUUCACCAUGUUGGCCAGGCUGGUCUCGAACUCCUGACCUCAUGUGAUCCACCCGCCUUGGCCUCCCAAAGUGCUGGGACUACAGGUGUGAGCCACCGUGUUCGGUCAAGCCUGAUAAAAAGCUUUGGAGCAAUUUAUGCCUCUGGGUAUUGUUGAAAGUGGUGUCAUUCUGUACUCUCUUCUCAAACCACAUCAGUGGUCUAUAGUGGAAGAAUCAAGAAUACCAGGCUCUCUGGUUAUGAAGGUAAUAUAUGGGUUCCAACCCUAAAAUUCAUCUGGAAUCUGCUGCUUCCUCUUCAUCUCAAGUCUCACUUCAUAGGGAAUCCUUUCAUAACUAGUGUUUGCUCCAGUCAGCUUCUCCUUUCAUUCCUUCUCCCUUCAUUCCUUUCAUUCCUUCUCCUUUCAUUCCUUGUAGCUUCUCCUUUCAUUCCCUGUAGAAUCUGUCUUGUUCUCAUGGAGUCAGGAGCAGAAAUACAUCUCAGGGCCAAAACCAUGACUUUCAGUCUUGAACUGGAAGUUUCCCCUGAAGCCAUAGGCUGGUUGCUGAGAGAAGAGAAAGGGAAAUGGCCUUAACAGCCAGGGGUGACCCCGCAGUCCUACAGUAACAGUCCUACAGUGGUGCCAGGAGACCAUGGGGAUUUCACAGCAUUAUUAUAAAAUCCACUCAACAUUCACUCUACAAAUACUUCUUAGAGAAGCUGAGGGAAGGCACUUUGCAAGAUGAUGUAAAAGAUACAGUGUUGAGCCAGUGCCACCUGGAUUGUAGACAUGUGGUCCAGGUAAUGAGUCUCAGCUUGUAUCAACCAUUCCCUUCUCAUAGAGGCCUCUCCAGAUCUCUUACUCUUUUUUUUUUCUUUUGAGAUGGGGUCUUCCUCUGUAACCCAGGCUGCAGUACUGUAGCAGGGUCAUAGCUCACUGCAGCCUCCACCUCCCAGGCUCAUGUGAUCCUCUCACCUCAGCCUCCUGAGUAACUGGGAUCACAAGCCCACACCAACACACCCAACUAAUUUUUUUUUUAUUUUUUGUAGAGAUGGGGUCUCACUGUGUUGCCCAGCUCCUCUCAAAACUCCUGGGCUCAAGUGCGGAUCUCUUAAUCUAAAGUAGCUCCUCCGGCCAGGUGUGGGGUCCUGUAAUCCCAACACUUGGAGAAGCCGAGGUAGGAGGAACACUUGAGCCCAGGAGUUCAAGACCAGCCUGGGCAACAUAGUGAGACCCCGUCUCUGUGAAAAAUUUAAAAAUUAGCCAGGCGUGGUGGUGGGUACCUAUAGUCCUGGCUACUCGGGAGGCUGAGGGAGGAGGAUCACUUGAGCCACGGCGGUUUAGGCUGCAGUGAGCCAUGAUUGUGCCACUGCAUUCCAGCCCGGGCAACAGAGUGAGAGAACCUGUUUGUUUAAAAAAUAAUAACAAUAAUAAAAAUUUUAAAGUAGUCCCUCACCCCAAUAUUACUCUGCUCUAUUUUUCUUUAGGACAUUCAUAACCAUUUGAAAAUAUAUUUUUAUAUAUUUACUAACUUUUAAUUAAUUAACUCAACAAGUACUUGACUAUCUUGUGAUAGGCUCUGCUCUAAACAGUGGAGAUACAGAGCUGGGCCUGGUGGGUUUGUUCCUGUAGUCCUAGCUACUCAGGACACUGAAACAGGAGGAUCGCUUGAGACCAGGAGUUUGAGACCAGCCUGGGCUAUCUAGCGAAACCCUGUUUCUAAACAAAAAAACAAAAAGUCACAAUGGAGACACAUACAUACCACACACACACACACACACACACACACACAAAAUAAUAAUAAUCCAAAACUCCUAAACAAUAUAGAAGGUUAGGAGUGUUGCGGAGAUAAGACAAACUAGAGCAGAUUAAGAAUCAGUGAGAGUGGGAUAAAGCCAGUUGUGCAAUACAGAGUGGUUGGGACAGGUCUAAUAGGACAGUUAGGCCGGGCGUGGUGGCUCAUGCCUGUAAUCCCAGCACUUUGGGAGGCUGAGGCAGGCAGAUCAUGAGGUCGGGAGAUCGAGACCAUCCUGGCUAACAUGGUGAAACCCCGUCUCUACUAAAAAUACAAAAAAUUAGCUGGCCGUGGUGGUGGGCCCCUGUAGUCCCAGCUACUAGGGAGGCUGAGGCAGGAGAAUCAUUUGAACCCGGGAGGCAGAGGUUGCAGUGAGCCGAGAUCACGCCACUGCUCUCCAGCCUGGGCGACAGAGCAAGACUUCGUCUCAAAAGAAAAAAAAAAAGUGAUGUUUUAGCAUGGACUUGGAGGAAUUAAAGACUCAUCAAGUGGAGAUCUCAGGAAACAGUGUUAUCACUCAGAGAAAACACACAGGACAAUGGAACUGACAGAGCAUCCUGGGUGUUUGUGGAACACCAAGAAGCCUAGUGCGGCUGGAACUGAAUGUGCAUGGAAGUUGGAGAGAUAGAUGGAAACAAAUUGUGUAGUCUUUUAUGCCAGCGUAGAGAGGUUGUAAUAUGUUCCUGUGUGUUCAAAAAUGUACCUGGGGUUUUUUGCAGUAUGGUCUGAUAAGAAACUCGGACAUGCAAAUGAUUGCCAGGAAGGAAGAACUUUCAACUCACGGAGUUUUAGAAACAGUAGGCAAAACACAUCCUGCAGGGCUAUGUGAGAAGCACCAGGGUGGUAUAAGAAGCAGAAGCAGAGGAGAAAGCAGAGGCCAGAUCCUUUAUUGUUUUCCACAGGAAAAGAAAGGCAGGGCUGGGUAACCAGAAGAGGAUUUGCUGGUUUGAAUAAAGUUGGUAGACUUUGGGGUCUAGGAGCUGUCCCUGUCUGCCUAGUACCUGGCCCUGGAGUCAUUAGAGCAAAAAAAAAAAAAAAAAAAAAAAAUUGUCUCCUGUAGUGUAAGAGCCAGACAGAGGAGAUGAUUCACAUUAGGGUACUCUGGAUUUGUUAGUAUGCAAAUAAAAGGCAUGGUUCAGAGUGAGUCAUUUGCAAUCUCUAAGAAUCAGUUAACUCUAAAUGGCAAGGUCCCAAAUUCCAUAGCAUCAACAAUGCAGAAAAUAAGAAAAUAUAGCUAAUACACUGUGAAAUGGGUAGCCAUCAUGGGGUUUUGAGCAGAGCUGUGAUGUUAUCUGAUUUAUGUUUUUGUUUGUUUUUUGAGACGGAGUCUUGCCCUGUCGCCAGGCUGGAGUGUGAUGGCGUGAUCUCGGCUCACUGCAACCUUCUCCUCCUGAGUUCAAGCGAUUCUCCCACCUCAGCCUCUGGAGUAGCUGGGAUUAGAGGCAUGUGCCACCAUGCCCGGGUAAUUUUUUGUAUUUUUAGUAGAGACAGGGUUUCACCGUGUUAGCCAGGAUGGUCUCGAUCUCCUGACCUCGUGAUCCACCCGCCUCAGCCUCCCAAAGUGCUGGGAUUACAGGCGUGAGCCACUGUGCCUGGACUGAUUUAUGUUUUAAAAGGAUCACUCUGGGUAGUCUAUGGAAAUUGGAAUAUGGGAGGGGCAAGAGGGAGAAGUCCUGUUAGGGAGCUCUGGCUCUUUCCAGAUGUGCAAGGUGGAGGAUAACUUAAGCCAAUGUAGUGAGAGGGGAGGUGGUUUACCACAAAGUACAAUUAACAGUAGAUCAAGGAGAACAAUGAGUAAUUGAAUUGAUACAAAUAUAUGGAAAAGUAUGAAUGGCUUUAUGGGAUGGAUUGUUGUUUCUAAAUCUAUCCAUUCCCCACACGAGCUGCUCCAGUGGCUCAGCAUGUUCAUGAUGAUACUGCUGAUAUAUCUUAUAUAAAUGUUAUACUAAAUGUAGAUGCUCAGUAAAUAUGAUUGUUUUGCUGUAAGAGAUUCUAGGCUAGGGCCAGGGCUUUGGUUAUACACGAAAGUGUGAACUCAUCAGGCUUCAGUUGCUCAGAUGCUAUACAUUCUAAAGAAAGAAAUGGCCCUUGAUCAGCUCCAGGAAGACAAUCUCUGAGUUUCUGGAAUAUUUUGCCUGGUAAAAGUAAUUUUUAAGCCUGAGUCCAUAGGCCUUCAUGUAUCGAUUUGAUGAGAUAAUUUAUUCUAAGAACAUUGUUACUGAAAAGGGGUCCCAAUCCAGACCUCAAGAGGGUUCUUGGAUCUUCCACAAAAAAGAAUUCGGGGUGAGUCCAUAAUGAAAGCAAGUUUAUUAAGAAAGUAAAGGGGCCAGGCGCGGUGGCUCACGCCUGUAAUCCUAGCACUUUGGGAGGCCGAGGAGGGUGGAUCACCUGAGGUCAGGAGUUUGAGACCAGCCAGGCCAUCAUGGCAAAACCCCAUCUCUACUAAAAACACAAAAAUUAGCCGGGCGUGGUGGCACAUGCCUGUAAUCCCAGCCACUCGAGAGGCUGAGGCAGGAGAAUCGCUUGAACCCGGGAAGCAGAGGUUGCAGUGAGCCAAGAUCAUGCCAUUACACUCCAGCCUGGGCAACAGAGCAAGACUCCGUCUCAAAAAAAAAAAAAAAAAAAAGGAAUACAAAAUGGCUACUCCAUAGGCAGAGCAGUAGUUUGGGCUGCUGGACUAAGGCUACUUAUAGUUAUUUAUUGAUUAUAUGCUAAAGGAGGGUUGGAUUAUUCACGAGUUUCCCAGGAAAGGGGUGAGCAGUUCUCAGAACUGAGGGUUCCUCUCCUUUUUAGACCAUAUAGGGUAACUUCCUGACAUUGCCAUGGCAUUUGUAAACUGUCAUGGUGCUGCUGAGAGUGACUUUUUGCAUGCUAAUGCAUAAUUGGGAUAUAAUGGGCAGUGAGGAUGACCUUGGUUUUGGCCGUCUUGGUUUUGGUGGGUUUUGGCCGUCUUGGUUUUGGCCGUCUUGGUUUUGGUGGGUUUUGGCCGUCUUGGUUUUGGCCGUCUUGGUUUUGGUGGGUUUUGGCCGUCUUGGUUUUGGCCGUCUUGGUUUUGGUGGGUUUUGGCCGUCUUGGUUUUGGCCAGCUUCUUUACCACAAGCUGUUUUAUCAGCAGGGUUUUUGUGAGCAGUGUCUUGCACCAAACUCCUGUCUCCUCCUGUGACUUAGAAUGCCUAACUUCCUGGGAAUGCAGCACAGGUCUCAGCCUCAUUUUGCCCAGCCCCUAUUCAAGACGGAUUUGCUGUGGUUCAAAUGCUUCUGACAAUAUUCCUCAUGGUGAAUGCUGGAUUUUGCAUGCCCGAGGCCCUGGGCCACACUGUAUGUUUGCUUUUUGCAAGGGCUGUAUGGCUAUGACUAGUUAUGUGGACCCUGCAUUCCUAUGUAAAUGACCCUCCAUAAAAACCCCAGAAAUGAAUGCUUGAGUGAACUUCCCUGGCUUGUAUUAUAAUACUGUGAACAUCUUGUCACACAUCUUUGCUGGGGGAAUUAAGUGUGUCCCUAUGUGACCGUAAUGGGAGAUAACACCCAGAGUUUUGUGCCUGCUUUCAUGUGGACUUCAUUCUAUGUGAUUUUUCCCUUUGGUGAUCCUGGUCUAUAUCCUUUUAUUGUAAUAAACUAUAACCAUAACAGCUUUUCUGAGUCUUGUGUGUACUUCUAGCAAAUCAUGAAGCCUGAGGUAAGUAACCUAAAAUAUCAAGAUGAUUAAGGCCAUUCAUCCACGUAUCCAUUUAGCAGAUAUCUGAAUAUCUACUACUGACUAGGAACUAUGUGCAUGGAACAAUUAGGAUAAAAUCCAUAUUAACAUCUGUGCUCUUUUGAAGCUGGAAAUCUAGUUGGUGAGACAGUCAGGAGUCAGUAAUCAAACCUAAAUAUAUAUGCAUGUGUAUGCACACACACACACAGAUAUUUAUGAAAGAAUGCUUAUGACGUAGCUGGGAUGAAGGAUAAAUAUUCACUACUGGACAAAGUGUGUGGUGGAAAAGCCCCAUGGCAGGUGGGAAAAGGAAACACAAAGUGAAAACAGAAAGGGCAUAAGUUAUGCAAGAUGAAAGGUAGUAAAUGAGGCACCUCCCAGACCAGAUAAAGCUCAGAUAAAGCCCAAAGGAUUGACCGUGUAAUGAUUUGGGAGUUGUUUUUAGAGAUGAGGUCUCACUUUGUUGCCCAGGCUGGUCUCAAAUACCUGGGCUCAAGCAAUCCUCCUACCUUGGCCUCCCAAAGUGCUGAGAUUACAGUUGUGAACUACCACACCUGGCCAUAUUUGGUUUUUAUCCCAAGAGUUGAAGCCAUAAAAAGUUUUCAGGAAACGUAGUGGGGGCAGAGGGAGGGCGAAGCAGAGCACUAUUAAAUCUGAGAUGGUUCUCUGGUUUCAGCUUAGAGAAUGGAUUGAAGAGAAAAUGUGGGUAAAAGGACACUAAUUGAGAUGAUAGAUGGUGAGUGGAUGGACUAGGAAGAGGUGGUAGAGAGAAGUGGACAUACUUGAGAGAUAUUUAAGAAUUAAAAAUGAUGGGGCCGGGGCAGUGGCUCACACCUGUAAUCCCAGCACUUUGGGAGGCCAAGGCAGGCAGAUCACAAGGUCAGGAGAUUGAGACCAUUCUGGCCAACGUGGUGAAACCCCGUCUCUACUAAAAAUACAAAAAUUAGCUGGGUGUGGUGGCAUGCACCUAUAAUCCCAGCUACUCAGGAGGCUGAGGCAGGAGAAUUGCUUGAACCCAGGAGGCGGAGGUUGCAGUGAGCCGAGUUCGCACCACUGCUCCAGCCUGGGGACAGAACGAGAUUCUGUGUUAAAAAAAAAACAAACAAAAAAACACAACUUUCUGAUUGUACAUGAAGGAGGAAGAGAUUGAGGUAACUAUGCUGAGUUGGAAAUUUCUAGCCAACGUAACUAAACAGUGCCAUGUAGUAAAGAGGGAAGACUGAAGUAGAUCAGAGUCAGGGAGAAGCAUUUUAUUGAUCUUAUUUACAUCAGGUGAAGAAUGAGGUAUCUUUGAAACAUCUAUGUGAAGAUAGCAAGAAGAUAACUGGUAAUUCAGGUCCAGAGCUGUAAGGAUUGCUCAAGACUGGGGUAUUCUAUUUUCAAUGCCUUUAAAGUAAGGGAGGUAACUGAAGCCAAGGGCACAGAUGAGGCUGGGGAGAGGCCAUACAAGGCAAAAGAGCCUUGGACAAAACCUUUAGGUAUUUCAACAUUGAGUGGGCAGCUAGAUAUGGAUGACUGCACAAAGAAGGGAGAGAGGGAGGGAACGAAUGAGGAAAAAGAUGUUACAGAGCCAAGGAAAGAGAACAUAUUUCACGAAUUGAGUAUUAGACACAAUAAAAUUCUACUGAUGGCCCAAGAAUGACAAGGACUUGUGAUUUAUAAGCACCAAGUCACUUCUGACCUUAGUCACAAUGUCGGAGAAGGUGGCAUUGUAGCAAGGAGUUCCACAAAGAGUAGAGGUUUGGGAAGUGGAGAGAAAUCAAGAAAGAGGUAAUGGAGAAGUGAAAAUAUUACACAAAAAAGGAAAACAUCCCUAAGAGGCUCCUCUAUUAAAGGAGGAGAGGGAGGAAAGGACAAAUAAUCAAGUUGGAGAAACCCAUACACACACAGGAAAGACCAGACUGGUGGUGACUGACACUCAAGCAGAAGUCAGUUAUGCAAAGAUAACUUAGAAAGUGUAAGUGACAAAAGAACAUGCAGAUGAAAAACAGGCUUGUAGGUGGCCAUGAUGACAUCGAAGGCAAAUGUCAGGAGGAAACUCAAGAUUGCAAAGAAAGUGACCACUGCUUAUGUGUGAUUCCAGGGAUCAACAAGAGACAGAGUGAGAAGGGACCACUUCAAACACGUGUCAUUUUACCCAAGAGCAGGGACAUGGAAUGGCACUGGGAAGGGCAAACAGGUAUGUUGAGAGGCUAUACAACUGCAAUGCCGUAGAUCAUAAGAAAAGAGAGUUAAUGCAGAUGCCUGAGAAUAUCAAGCAAACAAAUGGGCCGGGCGCGGUGGCUCACGCCUGUAAUCCCAGCACUUUGGGAGGCUGAGGUGGGCAGAUCACUUGAGGUCAGGAGUUUGAGACCAGCCUCGAUAUGGAGAAACCCCAUCUCUCCUAAAAAUACAAAAUUAGCCAGGCAUGGUGG
rnacentral:lncRNA from 1 species